rnacentral:rRNA from 1 species
GACGAACGCUGGCGGCGUGCUUAACACAUGCAAGUCGAACGGAAAGGCCCUGCUUGCAGGGUGCUCGAGUGGCGAACGGGUGAGUAACACGUGGGUGAUCUGCCCCUUACUUUGGGAUAAGCCUGGGAAACUGGGUCUAAUACUGGAUAGGACCAUGCUGUAGGUGGUGUGGUGGAAAGAUUAGUUUCGGUAAGGGAUGAGCUCGCGGCCUAUCAGCUUGUUGGUGGGGUAAUGGCCUACCAAGGCGUCGACGGGUAGCCGGCCUGAGAGGGUGGACGGCCACAUUGGGACUGAGAUACGGCCCAGACUCCUACGGGAGGCAGCAGUGGGGAAUAUUGCACAAUGGGCGCAAGCCUGAUGCAGCGACGCCGCGUGGGGGAUGACGGCCUUCGGGUUGUAAACUCCUUUCAGCCAUGACGAAGCCCUUGUGGCGACGGUAGUGGUAGAAGAAGCACCGGCUAACUACGUG